rnacentral:rRNA from 1 species
CGCCUGUUUAUCAAAAACAUGUCUGUAUGAUGGUUAUAUAGAGUCUGGCCUGCCCACUGACUUUGGUUGAAGGGCCGCGGUAUUUUGACCGUGCGAAGGUAGCAUAAUCAUUAGUCUUUUAAUUGGAGGCUUGUAUGAAUGGUUGAACAAAAAAUAAGCUGUCUCGAUUAUAAAAAUUGAAUUUAACUUUUAAGUGAAAAGGCUUAAAUAAGAUAGGGUGACGAUAAGACCCUAUAAAACUUUACAAUUAUUUAAUUGAAUGAUGAAUUGUUAGUAUAAAUUUGAUUCAAUUAAUGUUUGUUUCGUUGGGGCGACGAAAAUAUAAUUUUAUAACUGUUUUAUAAUUUUGUAACAAUGAUUUUUGGUGAGGAUGAUCCUUUAUUAGAGAUUAAAAGAUUAAGUUACUUUAGGGAUAACAGCGUAAUCUUCUUUGAAAGUUCAUAUCGACAAGAAGGGUUGCGACCUCGAUGUUGAAUUAAGGUUUCUUUGUGGUGCAGUAGUUACAGUGAGAAGGUCUGUUCGACCUUUAAUUCCUUACAUGAUCUGAGUUCAAACCGG